rnacentral:rRNA from 1 species
AGGCGGCGGACGGGNGGAGGUAAUGUCGUGGGAAACGUGGCUGAGUGGAGGGGGAUAACUAGCGUGGAAAGGGNAGCUAGAUGACCGCAUGAACGUCGGCAAGAGCAAAGAGGGGGACCUUCGGGCCUCUUGCCAUCAGAUGUGCCCAGAUGGGAUUAGCUAGUAGGUGGGGUAACGGCUCACCUAGGCGACGAUCCCUAGCUGGUCUGAGAGGAUGACCAGCCACACUGGAACUGAGACACGGUCCAGACUCCUACGGGAGGCAGCAGUGGGGAAUAUUGCACAAUGGGCGCAAUGCCUGAUGCAGCCAUGCCGCGUGUAUGAAGAAGGCCUUCGGGUUGUAAAGUACUUUCAGCGGGGAGGAAGGCGUUGAGGCUAAUAACCUCAGCGAUUGACGUUACCCGCAGAAGAAGCACCGGCUAACUCCGUGCCAGCAGCCGCGGUAAUACGGAGGGUGCAAGCGUUAAUCGGAAUUACUGGGCGUAAAGCGCACGCAGGCGGUCUGUCAAGUCGGAUGUGAAAUCCCCGNGGCUCAACCUGGGAACUGCAUUCGAAACUGGCAGGCUAGAGUCUUGUAGAGGGGGGUAGAAUUCCAGGUGUAGCGGUGAAAUGCGUCAGACGAUCUGGAGGAAUACCGGUUGGCGAAGGCGGCCCCUGGACAAAGACUGACGCUCAGGUGCGAAAGCGUGGGGAGCAAACAGGAUNAGAUACCCUGGAUAGUCACGCCGAGCGAUG